rnacentral:misc_RNA from 1 species
AACCUAGCACACCUGCGGUGUGUACCUGCGGAAGGAUCAUUACCGAGUUUACAAACUCCCAAACCCUUUGUGAACCUUACCUAUCGUUGCUUCGGCGGGAUCGCCCCGGGCCGGCCCUUCACGGGGCCUCCGGAACCAGGCGCCCGCCGGAGAACCCAAACUCUUUGUUUUUAUGGUUUUCUCCUCUGAGUGGAUUAUAAACAAAUAAAUCAAAACUUUCAGCAACGGAUCUCAGAUCGG